rnacentral:rRNA from 1 species
AACGAACGCUGGCGGCAUGCCUAACACAUGCAAGUCGAACGAGACCUUCGGGUCUAGUGGCGCACGGGUGCGUAACGCGUGGGAACCUGCCCUUAGGUUCGGAAUAACUCCCCGAAAGGGGUGCUAAUACCGGAUAAUGUCUUCGGACCAAAGAUUUAUCGCCUUUGGAUGGGCCCGCGUUGGUUUAGCUAGUUGGUAGGGUAAAAGCCUACCAAGGCGACGAUCCAUAGCUGGUCUGAGAGGAUGAUCAGCCACACUGGGACUGAGACACGGCCCAGACGCCGACGGGAGGCAGCAGGGGGGAAUGUGGGACAAGGGGGGCAAACGUGAUCCAGCCAUCCCGCGCGUGCGAUGAAGGCCUUCGGGUUGUAAAGCACGUUUGGCAGGAAAGAAACGUCGCGGGCUAAUACCCAGUGGAACUGACGGUACCUGCAGAAGAAGCACCGGCUAACUACGUG